GACGUAGGGAGCGAGCGUUGUCCGGAUUCAUUGGGCGUAAAGAGCGCGCAGGCGGUUUGGUAAGUCGGAUGUGAAAUCCCGGAGCUCAACUCCGGACCUGCAUCCGAUACUGCCCGACUAGAGGUAGGUAGGGGAGAUCGGGAAUUCCUGGUGUAGCGGUGAAAUGCGCAGAUAUCAGGAGGAACACCGGUGGCGAAGGCGGAUCUCUGGGCCUUACCUGACGCUCAGGCGCGAAAGCUAGGGGAGCGAACAGG
rnacentral:rRNA from 1 species